rnacentral:rRNA from 1 species
AUUGAACGCUGGCGGCAUGCUUUACACAUGCAAGUCGAACGGCAGCGCGGGGCAACCUGGCGGCGAGUGGCGAACGGGUGAGUAAUACAUCGGAACGUACCCAGAAGUGGGGGAUAACGUAGCGAAAGUUACGCUAAUACCGCAUACGUUCUACGGAAGAAAGUGGGGGACCUUCGGGCCUCAUGCUUUUGGAGCGGCCGAUGUCUGAUUAGCUAGUUGGUGAGGUAAAGGCUCACCAAGGCGACGAUCAGUAGCUGGUCUGAGAGGACGACCAGCCACACUGGGACUGAGACACGGCCCAGACUCCUACGGGAGGCAGCAGUGGGGAAUUUUGGACAAUGGGCGCAAGCCUGAUCCAGCAAUGCCGCGUGAGUGAAGAGGGCCUUCGGGUUGUAAAGCUCUUUUGUCAGGGAAGAAACGGCUGAGGAUAAUACCUUCGGCUAAUGACGGUACCUGAAGAAUAAGCACCGGCUAACUACGUGC